GACGAACGCUGGCGGCGUGCUUAACACAUGCAAGUCGAGCGGUAAGGCCCUUUCGGGGGUACACGAGCGGCGAACGGGUGAGUAACACGUGGGUGACCUGCCCUCAGCUCUGGGAUAAGCCUGGGAAACUGGGUCUAAUACUGGAUAUGACUCCACGGUGCAUGUCGUGGGGUGGAAAGCCUUGUGCGGCUGAGGAUGGGCCCGCGGCCUAUCAGCUUGUUGGUGGGGNGAUGGCCUACCAAGGCGACGACGGGUAGCCGGCCUGAGAGGGCGACCGGCCACACUGGGACUGAGACACGGCCCAGACUCCUACGGGAGGGCAGCAGUGGGGAAUCUUGCGCAAUGGGCGAAAGCCUGACGCAGCGACGCCGCGUGAGGGAUGACGGCCU
rnacentral:rRNA from 1 species